AGAGUUUGAUCCUGGCUCAGGAUGAACGCUAGCUACAGGCUUAACACAUGCAAGUCGAGGGAAACGGAUAUUGGAAGCUUGCUUCCGAUAGGCGUCGACCGGCGGCACGGGUGAGUAACGCGUAUCCAGCCUGCCCACCACUUGGGGAUAACCUUGCGAAAGUAAGACUAAUACCCAAUGAUAUCUCUAGAAGACAUCUGAAAGAGAUUAAAGAUUUAUCGGUGAUGGAUGGGGAUGCGUCUGAUUAGCUUGUUGGCGGGGUAACGGCCCACCAAGGCAACGAUCAGUAGGGGUUCUGAGAGGAAGGUCCCCCACAUUGGAACUGAGACACGGUCCAAACUCCUACGGGAGGCAGCA
rnacentral:rRNA from 1 species